rnacentral:lncRNA from 1 species
AUGACCUCCCAGGACAUCUGCAGCUCCCCAGGGGAUCUCCGAGCUCCUGCUUUCCAAAUGAACUCAACUUCUGCUCAGCCAGGUACCACAGUUGUGCUCCAGUGUAUUCUCCAUGUGUUUUCACAUACAAGACGAAUCAUCUUCUGCAAGGAUGGAAAGGAGGUGUACAGCCAGAAAGCCCAGCAAGGGCAGCUGAGCUACUUCACGGUCCUGAACAUCACGUCAAGAAGCGCAGGAAGAUAUACAUGUGGGUACCAGCAGAGGAAUGAGAUGAAACAGAGGAGGAGCUCUGCCCUCAGUGCUGGCCGCAUCCUGGAUGUCCCUGGUGAGACACGUCCCUGGGGCUGGAGGGGUGAGAAGGGACGGAGGCACUUGCUACCCCAAGGCUGUGCUGAGGCUGGAGCUGUGUGCUGCAGCAGGCUCUGGGGUGGUUCCCCCACGGGAGUGUUCCCUCUCCUCCAAGGCAGCCCCUAGAGAGAGAGAGUUGUUCUCAAGGGGUCCCGUGUCCCUGCAGCACCACCUCUGCCUCAGAGAUGGGGCUGUGCAGAUCCGGGGCAGAGAGAGUAAAGACUGGGGAUGUGCAUGGAUGCUGGGUUGAGCCAGGGAUGCUCCAAGGUCUGCCCCGUGCAUUGAUGCGCUUAUGGCAGGGCAAGUGGGAUGACUGUCAUGACCUCUGCAAGGACACAGAAGUGAGGACAUGGCAAGGACCCAGCAGCAGGGACAUGGGCACAAGCGUGUGGGUGCCCCAGCUCUCACUCCCUCUAAACAAACCCUCUGUGCUCCAAGGUGCAGCUGCUGGCGUGACCACCCAGGACAUCGGCAGCUCCCCAGGUGAGGUUGGGCGUGGGGAUGGGUGACUGAAGAGAGGUGUGUGUGGGGUGGUGAUGGCAAGGGAG